GGUGAACGCUGGCGGCGUGCCUAAUACAUGCAAGUCGAACGAGACCUUCGGGUCUAGUGGCGAACGGGUGAGUAAUACGUAGGAACCUGCCCUGAAGUGGGGCAUAACUCCGGGAAACCGGAGCUAAUUCCCCAUAGUCUACCUCGGUAGUAAAGGAUUUCCGCUUCAGGAAGGGCCUCCGCCCGAUUAGCUAGUUGGUGAGGUAAUGGCUCACCAAGGCUAUGAUCGGUAGCUGGUCUGAGAGGAUGAUCAGCCACACUGGGACUGAGAUACGGCCCAGACUCCUACGGGAGGCAGCAGUAGGGAAUCUUCCACAAUGGGCGAAAGCCUGAUGGAGCAACGCCGCGUGCAGGAUGAAGGCUUUCGGGUCGUAAACUGCUUUUCUGAAGGAAGAUUAUGACGGUACUUCAGGAAUAAGGGUUGGCUAACUCCGUGCCAGCAGCCGCGGUAAUACGGAGAACUCAAGCGUUACCCGGAAUAACUGGGCGUAAAGCGUUGCGUAGGCGGUUUGUUAAGUGAGGUGUGAAAUCUUGUGGCUCAACCAUUAAGACUAUGCUUCAAACUGGCAAACUAGAGGUUGGUAGAGGUGAGUGGAAUUCCUGGUGUAGGAGUGAAAUCCGUAGAUAUCAGGAGGAACACCAAUGGCGAAGGCAGCUCACUGGACCAUACCUGACGCUCAGGCACGAAAGCGUAGGGAGCGAACCGGAUUAGAUACCCGGGUAGUCUACGCCGUAAACGAUGGAUGCUAGCUGUUGGGAGUAUCGACCCUCUCGGUAGCGAAGCUAACGCGUUAAGCAUCCCGCCUGGGGAGUACGGCCGCAAGGCUAAAACUCAAAGGAAUUGACGGGGACCCGCACAAGCGGUGGAGCGUGUGGUUUAAUUCGAGGCUACGCGAAGAACCUUACCCAGGCUUGACAUCCUAGGAAUUUCUUAGAAAUAAGAAAGUGCCUUCGGGAGCCUAGUGACAGGUGAUGCAUGGUCGUCGUCAGCUCGUGUCGUGAGAUGUUAGGUUAAGUCCUUGAACGAGCGCAACCCUCGUUGUUAGUUGAAUUUUUCUAACAAGACUGCCUCGGUAACGGGGAGGAAGGGGGGGAUGAUGUCAGAUCAGCAUGUCCCUUACGUCUGGGGCUACACACACGCUACAAUGGCCGGUACAAUGAGUUGCCAAAUCGCAAGAUGGAGCUAACCUCAUCAAAACCGGUCCAAGUUCGGAUUGCAGGCUGAAACUCGCCUGCAUGAAGCUGGAAUCGCUAGUAACCGUAGGUCAGCACACUACGGUGAAUACGUUCCCGGGUCUUGUACACACCGCCCGUCACAUCACGAAAGUGACCAACGUCCGAAGUCCUGCCUUAGGUCAGGCCUAAGAUGGGGGUCAUGAUUGGGGU
rnacentral:rRNA from 1 species